UACGUAGGGGGCGAGCGUUGUCCGGAGUUACUGGGCGUAAAGGGCAUGCAGGCGGUCCGACACGUUUUGUGUGACAGCGGGUGGCUUAACUACCCGAGGAUACGAAAGACGGUUGGACUUGAGGACUCGAGAGGGACACGGAAUUCCGGGUGGAGUGGUGAAAUGCGUAGAGAUCCGGAGGAACACCGAAGGCGAAGGCAGUGUCCUGGCGAGUGACUGACGCUGAGGUGCGGAAAGCCAGGGGAGCGAACGGG
rnacentral:rRNA from 1 species